GUCAUAUUAUGCAGAUGGGUGCUCAUGGUGGCCUCCAAAUAAAUACAUGGACAGGCUGCUAAAGAGGGUCAGGAUGAUGGAGAUGCAAGAGCCAAAGACAGCACAGACCAAACACCAGGCCAGAAUUCUGCAUGAGUCAGAUUGAGUAAUUUUCACUCUAGAGACCCUUGGGUGACCACCAAGGACGAAUGCAAACUCCAGUGAGUGUCUCUAAGGUAGAUCCUAAUGCAGAUGGAUGGAAUGUUGAUCCGCCUAACAUGCAAGGUAAAAGAGCAUUUGAUAGCAUAGUGGAUAAACAAAGCUUUUUUCAUUUUCAGAGCAUUUUCAAAAACAACAUAACACUUGCUAUUACAUUGUUAUAUAUUACAUGACCAUGUCUAACUCUGAUCCAUACAAAACAGAUUUUCUGUACCGAGAACUUUGGAUGACCACGUUUUCAAAAAUCUGACCUCAAUUUUAGUAACCAUUUAGAUAUUUUAGAUGUAGUCCGAGAGCUUGCUGACCCUCCAUUAAAAAUGUAUGUACGGUAUACUGUUCAUGUCCAGAAAGGUAAUAAAAACAUCAUCAAAAUAGUUCUUGUGACAUCAGUGGGUCAGUUAGAAUUUGUUGAAGCGGCAAAAAUACAUUUAGGUCCAAAAAUUACGACUUUAUUCGGCAUUGUCUUCUCUUCUGGGUCUGUUGUGAACCGUGUGCAUGACACUGCUUCCGUACGAUGCUGUUGGCUUGUUAUCUGGUGCACCCAAGCUUUUUUUUCCGUUUACAGUCUGAGAGAGACGCUGUAAACAAACAAUCUUCGCAAACAUGUCUAAGGAUAACACGUCAGCAGCGUCGUACGUCAGCAGCGCCACUGUGCACGCGCAUUCGCAACAGGCCCGGAAGA